GGUGCAUCGCUCACUGAGCYUGGGGCUCUUCCUGGACCCUCUUGGCCGCCAGACUGUUGUGCUUUGCAGGAAGUGAGGAGGAGCCCGGCAGCGUGAAUGUAACAAUCUAUCAUGAAUGCUCUGCUGGAGCCAGUGGCUGAGGAAUCCGUCCUGYGGCUGAGCUCAUGAGGGCUGAUAACUGCUGCUGUGCACUUGCUCUUCAGGGUAUGGAGCCCAUUCCACAGGCCCCUGACCUGGACUUUACUUCCCUUUGGAUGGUGCACCGUUCAACAAAACCACUCUCUAACCUCAACAAACACAUGACCAGCCUCACCUCCACUGUGGGAAGCCCUAUAGGGUACAGGCAGGGAAAGGAGGAGUCUAAUCUGUCCGCUGACACCCACGUCCUGCUCCUGUCACGCUCUUGUCCCUGGCACCAAGGAUGUAGGGAAUGUAACCUGUGUAAUUUUAAGCAUAGACACUAACUGAAGAUAGAGCAGAGUUUUUAUGUCAAUAUUGACUUAACGUAUUUGUGUGUAUAUGUGUAAACUAGCUGGUCAUAGGUGUUAUUUCGGGAAACAGCACAAAAUAUUUUGACUUUUAGACCUUAAUUUAGAGAUGAUUCUUGUAGUUUUCUGACUUGAUGGCAUGCAUUUACUUGGAAAGUGCUGAGUCUUGAUUAUGCUAAGGUAAGACAGUGACAAUUAAUGACUGAUAUACUCUACUGGUGGAACUGUAUCUGUGUAUAUGUGUGCACACGCACACAUGUGGAUGUGUGUGUAUAU